AUGUCGCAUGGGAGCUAUUUGCUCGAUGCCACCAUAUCGCGCGUUCUCGCCGCCCACCAGGGCCCUGGCCGCCACUUCUGCGCGCCCGUCUACCACCUCCCCGUCGACCGAGCCGACGCCUGGCUCAGAUCCCCCGCCCUCGACAACCUCCAUGAGCUCGAGCUUUGCUGCUACCGAUUUUUUUUACCAUCUCCACCGCAAACACUGCAGCCGCCGCCAGCAGCCGCCUUGCGCUUCUCGGACACCCUUUGUGUUGCCACCAUCGGAGAUUGCCACCUUACCGACAGCACCAUCCAAGCGCUUCACUUCCCUAAGCUUCAGAAGCUCGCGCUUAAACGGGUCGGGAUCUCUGAAUCCUCGCUGCACACCAUGAUUUCAACUGGACCCGGGAAAACCAACUCCUGGUGCCGUAAACACCGGGAUCUUAUAAGAUCUCUUGACAUCCGUCUCAAGACAAUUGUUUGGCGACAUUAUCGGGGUAUCAAGUCACAUGUUGACUUCGCCACAUUCUUUAUACUAAACGCUGGAGUGUUGGAAUUGAUGACUUUUGAGGUUAAUUCUGAAGAUUACAAUGAGGAGUUCUUUGCACAACACCUCAUGCAACUUGGUCUCUCUCUCAUCAAGGUAUCACUCAUAUGUUUCCCUCCUUACUCAGAGGCAAGUGGGGAUCUAUCACUUCAGCCGAAACAAAAAAUAUGGGGCCUCGUCUUGGAAGCAAGCAAGGAGUUCUUUUUUCUUUCCAGCCCGGUGUUGAACUGCUCUGAUCAAGCCUGGUGUUGGCCGAUGUGCCGUCGAUCGGCUGACAUUAAUUGUUUUUUGGAAGGUCAAGAUAUUACUGUGGUUUCUCCGGUUUGCACCAACUACUUGCAGUGUGGAUCCACCACUUCAGCCGAAGGCUUCGUCUCGGAAGGCAGCCUCGAGUAUUUGAGUGACGUUGGUGAAGCAAAAACUUCAAGCAACAAGCUAAACCUGGCUAAACUCCAAAUGCCCAGCCAAGAUCAGAACUUUUAUAUGGCGGGUCCUCCAAAGCGCUAUCCCGUGCCGGGCGAUCCUAGCUUCGAAGCAUAUGAGGGUGAAGGUUCACUGUCCAGAAUGUAG
rnacentral:rRNA from 1 species